UCGUGUUCCGGAUAUUUAUUGGGUCGGUUUCUGAGGAUAUGAAAAUAUUAAACCAACACACAAUAUUUUCCAAGGUAUAUCUGUAUAUUGAUAAAUACCUCGAAGGGUGCUACAAAUCCAAACCCGAAGGUUGGCUACAAUGACCACUACUCUCAAUAUUACAAACUCUAACCGCUACGGAUAUUUCUAUUACAAAGCUAGACUAGAGUGUAUAUAUAGUGGGAGUAGCCGUGCAGAGCACUUGGCCAUUUCAUCCCGAAGGAUGAUCUUAAUUGUGAGAACCACAAUCACAUAUUUAUAGGCUUUCAUAAACUAACCAUGGUUAACGAGUUCGUCCUGGACGACUUGAGUUCGUCCUGGACGGAUUCGAUUUAACAAAAUAAAUCUAACUCCCACGUACUUGAAUUGGCGCCAGGAGAUGUUGGAUUGGGGCGCAACAUUUGACCAAGUCAAAUGUUGCGCUUCAACAAUGUUGCGCUUGGUUGCCCCUCUGUUUGGUACUUAGAAAUAAUUCCAGUAACAAAAGUUGCGCCAUGAUUGUUGAUUAGAGGAGCAACAUUUGACCAGGUCAAAUGUUGUUCCAAUAUAGUGCAUCCCUUGUAGAGUUGUGACUUAGAAAUUAUUCUAAGUCACAAAGGGUUAGUGCCAAGAGUUGUUAGUAGAGGAGCAACAUUUGACCGGUCAAAUGUUGCGCCCGGGUCAAAUGUUGCGCCUGGGUCAAAUGUUGCGCCCGGGUCAAACCUUGCGCCUUGGUCAAAUGUUGCGCCCGGAUUCCAUCUGAAUCUGACAUGACUAAACCUCUCAGACAGUGUUAUGCUAAUCCUUGAAGUUCUGUCCUCACAUUCUUCAAAAGUGUUAACUAUCGUCGACUUGAGCUUCCUCAAAUUCAGCAGUUACAAACUCUUCUGUUCAAUCCUAAGGUUCUGACAUAAAUGCACGAAACUGAUUUGGUGCGGUAGUAACUCGAUAAUUAUAUCCUUAAACCUCCACAGUUCUCUGUCUUUGGUUCAGUUGAUUCUGGAUGGAUUUAGCAUUGAUACAAUUCACUGUGUAAUUGUAUAUCCCUGAAUCACUGAGUUAGAUUGAAAUCCCUUGAAGAUUCUUCUGCAAAAACUUCUCUUUUCCUACUACUAGUGGUGCCAUUCAAAGUUGACAUUCCGAGCCCUGGAAAGAUGCUUCAUUGUAGAUGUAGCAAAUUCCCAUCCUGAUCUGGUGAUCUGAUAAUCAAGUCGGAGUAAUUACUCAGAUCAAGGCCUGAAGUACCUUCUUCAAAAUCCACUUUUAGUAGUACCAAAUUAGUCUUCAAUAGAAUCUUCUUCGAAUCACAAUCAGCUUUGUCGAACAUAGAAAACUGCUUCUAAUAAUCCUUUGAGAAAUCAAUUGGAUUGGGUCAUCAAUGUACUUCCAUUACCGGUUCUGAGAAUCUGGUAUUUGAAAGCCCGGUGUUUGUCUUGUAAUCUGUCAGCCUGAUCUGUCUCAACUAAAUGUCAAUCUGAUUUGUCUUGGAGUAGAAUAAUUAAAAAGGUUACGGGACACUUGAUUAUUUAAACUAAGUUUAAAUUAUAGAGAAAAUAAAUUUAAUAAUAAGUUUUAAAAGAUGAAAGAAAAUAAAGUAUAAAAUAAACUUAGUUAAAUCUAUAAAGUAAAUUUAAUUAUAUUUAAAAAAUAAAUUCAAAUAAAUUCAUAAUAAACUGAAUAAGUUUAGAAUAAAUUUAUUUCAAAUUCAUUUAGUAAAUAUAUUAAAAUUUAUUAGAUAAAUUUAAUUUUUGAAAAUAUUCAAGUGUCUCGUCUCCAAUUAAAUCAUAGCUUCCAGAACAAACGAAAUUGAACCCUUGAACUUGAACUUAUAUCCAUAAUCAGUUAAAUCCUCUUAAAUUUAUAUUUUAUAUUUUAACUUAAAUUUAAAUCAUAAACUAUACAAAUUUAAAUAAUAAAUUUAUAAAAAUUUAUGAUAAACUUGAUAAAGUCUAAGAGUAAACUUUACAAGUCUAAAAUAAAUUUAAGCAAAUUUAUUAAAUGAAUUUAGUAAAGUUUAUAAAGUAAAUUUAAUUAAGUUUAUAAGAUAAAUUUAAUUAAUUCAUAAUAAACUCAAUUAAUAAGUUUAAAAUAAAUUAAGUCAAAUUUAUAAAAUAAACUUAUUAAAAUUUAAAGUAUAAAUUUAUAAGUCCCGGUCCAAAGUUCAGUAUCCGACAGAUAAUCCUUGCUUAGGCCUACGGACAAAUUCAGCAACACAAACCGGAAGAACAUUUCCCCUAAUCAAAUAUCAAAAGCUAGGUUCUUGAUUUUCCGUACGAUAAGGAUCCUGAUUUGUAUAUCAAUCAGCCUGGCUCUGAUACCAAUUGUUAGGUCCAAAGUAUCGUAGAAGGGGGGGUUGAAUACGAUACUCACUACAAUUUAAAAUUCUUUCGAAUCUUGCGGAUAAAUAAAUUGCAGUCCUGUAAUGGGUUUCGUGUUCCGGAUAUUUAUUGGGUCGGUUUCUGAGGAUAUGAAAAUAUUAAACCAACACACAAUAUUUUCCAAGGUAUAUCUGUAUAUUGAUAAAUACCUCGAAGGGUGCUAUAAAUCCAAACCCGAAGGUUGGCUACAAUGGCUAUUACUACUUACACUCACAAACCCUAGCUUCUAAAUAUAUAUAUAAUACAAAACUAAGCUAGAGUUUAUUUGUGUGUAGUAGUGUGCAAGGCACAAAGCCAUUCCACCAUAAAGGUGGU
rnacentral:lncRNA from 1 species